UACUAGCUUCCUCUUCCUGCUAGAACCUUCCAGCCCCCAGGACAUCUGAGUCUUCAUGGAGUUCUCUGGGAGCUUUGAGAUGGCUGAAUGGCCCAUAUCUCAGCAGGAUGUCUUACCUGUCUUAGCUCCACGCACCAACUAUCAACUUCAUAAAGGGAAAGAAGCCUCUUCUGGAAAGGUCCAGCUCCUGAUUCUAUUCAGGAAAUUGAGCUACACAGGUGACACUUAACACACCAGGUUCACCGGAUAGAAUACUCCUGAAGGCCUUCAGGGGAUUGUCUGAUCCCUUUGCUGGGGAUCCUUACAGAGAAGUCUGUGGAAGCUAACACACCUUCCAGGAACAAGUGUUCUCUCCAGGUCUGAGUGCAGAGAGAUCCUUCCUGCACUGCAGCCUCCCCAGAUGUGCUUUCACUGGUCUCCCUGAAGUUCCAUCUGCUUUUGUCUUCAUGGAACCUGAAAGGAGCUUGAGUGUCUUUCGCACCCAUGGUUACCCUUUGCUCCUCUGUCUUUGAGGGGAAGGACUUCAGGAAGCUGCAUUUGGAUGUUUCGUCAGUCUAUACGUAGACAUCGUUUCUUCGGUGGCAUCUUUUGCGGGUUGGCCCACAGUUGCACAGUCUUCUGAGAAAGUGGAGCCACUUGUUUGCCUUGACUGUGACCAGGGGAAGAGGUGCUGUUGUCACCUGGGUGAGGGGGAGCUUGCAUGGAAGCGUUGCUGAAAUCUGAACUGCAGGCCCACUGUUGGUACUGAGGGUGGUGAAUAGAGGCUGUAGGACCAGGCUGUGGAGCUGGGGGUGGGUGGCAAUGCUGAAUUUUAAGCUAGAGGAAAGAAAGAAACAGCCUUCUCUGUUUGCCCAUUUUCUGUCUUCCAGGAACUGGAAGGAAAGGCAAGUGGACAGGAAUAUAUCCCUCUCUUUGCAAAGAUCUUCAGCGGAAACUAGUGCCAAAGGAUUGGUUCCUCACCGGAAGCCAGUCCAUGUGGAGGUUAACCCAUGGGUGUUUUAUGAUGUGUCCAGCUUCUUUGUGGGCUUGACUAUUAUCACUAGUAGGAAGAGGUGUUUCAUUUCAGGAGAAAGAGUGUCAGGAAAAUGCCAAUGUCCCUGCUUUAAAUAAGGCCUCUUCCUCAAAAGACAAGGGCAUAGUGACCAUGAAGUGGAGGCCAGACCCCAGAUUCCAUAGGUCCACUUCAGGUGUUAUUCUCAAGUGUUUCUGGGACAGUACAGAUGCUGUUGCAAUGCGAGUACUCAGGGUUGGUCCACUAGGACCCUACUGAAAUCAAAGUCUGUCGGCUUAAGAGUGUGCUUGUCAUCUGCCAGGAAGUGCAUGCUUCGAGUCCCUAUGUGCUAUACCCUUAGUGUGACAAUAUUGCAGUGCUGAACUCAGCUUGCUGCACUUCAUUCAGACUUCCUCCUCUCCUAAGGGUCUGUGGUCCACCAGAUGGGCCCAGAGGCCUCCCCUCCCUCCAACAUAGUGGAGGACUGGGGUUAAGUCUGGUUGCUUUGAUCACCUCAUGCAGUUUGAGGAUGUGUGGGUGAUCUAAAACCUUCAUGCUGACCUCCAGAUGCAAAUACUGGGGGGUUUCAGGGAAUGCGGAUUUUUGAUGAUCUUCAUAGCAACCUCUUGGCUGCUGAGGACCUACUGUGUCUAUUUUUCCUUCUCCAAUUCUCUUUCCAAUGGCUUAGCUCUUGAGGUUGCUCUUCUCAGGGGAAGAAGCAGUCACCAGGUCCUUCAGGACCAACUAUACUAACUAUGCAUCUAAUUAUGCACCAAGUGGUGUCUAACAACUUUGAAAAGAGUCGUCACUGUCUCUUCUAGCUAUUCUAAGCAUCUAUACCAAUGGCAUAGUAGACAGCACCACCUUAUUCUUAAGGCAAAAUUAACAAAUUGAGAACCCUACCAAGAGCUAAUUCAAACUUAGCUGUAAUAAAUAAGUCAUGUAUUUGUAUAAAUAUACAAAUAUAUGAAAUGCAACUGCUUUUAAAAACUAUGUAUAUGAUAAUACAUGGAAAUGAGGAAAAGAAGACUGAGGUGAGGAGGGAUAGUCCUUGACGCUUUUGAAAAGCCCUGGGAGUGCGGGGAGAGGAACCGAGUACUGGCCUCUUAAUCUGGUUCUCCUAGAAACUUGGCAGUUGGAAUGUCUCUUUUCUUCUACAACUCUUAUCCUCUAACAUUUUCUCUGUGUGGGACUAGGAGGAGGAUAAAUCUACUGUAUCCUUAAGAAAAAUAUGGAAAAUGAGCUUCUAAGUUAUAUACAUGGCCCAGCAUAGCUUACAAUUUAAGGGCACUUAAUAUUUAGUAGGAGUGCCUAGCUCUUACUUUCUUCUAGGAACUAUGAUCUACUAUUUGGGAUUUGUAUCUUUUUUCUCCCAGAUCCACUACUUCCCUUUCCCACAGCUCAUCUAUUGAGAUAACAUUGAUGUUACUCUCUCUCCCUUCAUCUACCUUCUGUUGAAUGGCACAUGGUUGAGCAUUUGACUCAUGCUGGGCCAGUGACAGAUCUUCCCCAGAACUUCAUCCUGUGAUGAAAUAUGUGCAUCUCCAAUUCAUUAUAACAGGUGAUUUUCUCCCUUCUCUUCAUCCCUUCUCUUCAUCAGUCAAUGGAUCACAAGGCUUAGCAAGCCCAUCUCUAAAAGCUAAAAACUGUCCUUUGUGCAUCUCAAACCAUGCCCGAGUCAAGACUCCCAUCACUUCUCCCUUGGAUAGUGAUGCUCUGACCCUAGCUGGUAACAAAUGAUGCCCCUGCAAAGUAUGCCUCAUCAGGAUCACCUUAAGCUGAUGAUUCGGUGAGAAUACAGACACAGGAGGAGCUACGAACACAGUAAAAAUUACUGUGUAAGCAAAACAUAACAAGGGAGGUUAGUAUGCUAAGUCUUUUACUUAGGAAACUUACAAAACUUGCCUGCAUAGCAUUUUAAUUGGACAAUCUUUGUCUGUCCAACAUUUUCCUCCAUUCACCUUCCUGUGAAUCAUCUUUCUCCACAUCAGAAAUACUAAACUUCUGUCCUUUCCUUUGCUCUGGUUGGCAUAUGAGUCUCAGUCCUCUGGCCCUUGGCAUCUAUCUCCUGGGCUUCAUGCUGCUGGGAGUCUUGGUGGGUUUGGCCAAGUCUCUUAGCACAAAAUUUGAAUAGAGGUGUCCAUGAUAAUUUUUCCAGUUAUGUAAAUGGAAAUAUAGAGUUAUUGAUUUUGAACUUAUAGAUGGUACAAAAUAAUACACACUUGCCACUGGGUGUCCUGCUUGUCAUUCAGUGGAUUGAUCACCAUUGGGGUUGAUGGACCAUGGAAUUGACAAGGUUACUUAUUGUUGGAUCUGCUUCUACACAGGGCCCAACAGGUUAAUGUGGCUUAUCUUUGUCUAUAGGGAUGAGAGAAGAGCUACAUCUGUUUAUCUUUCAGGUCUGCUCUUUACCCAUGUUCUGCUUCUUGGUGCACAAAUGCCUCUUGAGGGGUGGAGAACAAGUCAUUGUUCUACAGUAUGAGAUUAAGAGUCUCUGUCCCCAAUGCAUUCUGUAACAAUGAAAUUGGGUAACUGUAAGCUUGGGAACGCUUUAAAGCUGGAUGAUGAAAAUGGAAUGUGAUUAGAUAUUGUAUCUAAUUAGAGCACUACUCAGCUUUGGCUUAUGGCAGUGCUGGGGAUUGAACCUGGGACCUUGGAAACUCGGGUAGGGAAAUCUGAGUGCAAUUUAAAAUCCAACAUUUGUCUGUAAAUGAGGUUAUAAAGAGAUGAUCUCCUAAAUGAAA